rnacentral:rRNA from 1 species
CGAACGGACUUAACUCAUUCUUUUAGAUUGAGAGCGGUUAGUGGCGGACUGGUGAGUAACACGUAAGCAACCUGCCUAUCAGAGGGGAAUAACAGUGAGAAAUCAUUGCUAAUACCGCAUAUGCUCACAGUAUCACAUGAUACAGUGAGGAAAGGAGCAAUCCGCUGAUAGAUGGGCUUGCGCCUGAUUAGUUAGUUGGUGGGGUAACGGCCUACCAAGACGACGAUCAGUAGCCGGACUGAGAGGUUGAACGGCCACAUUGGGACUGAGAUACGGCCCAGACUCCUACGGGAGGCAGCAGUCGGGAAUAUUGCGCAAUGGAGGAAACUCUGACGCAGUGACGCCGCGUAUAGGAAGAAGGUUUUCGGAUUGUAAACUAUUGUCGUUAGGGAAGAUAAAAGACUGUACCUAAGGAGGAAGCCCCGGCUAACUAUGUGCCAGCAGCCGCGGUAAUACAUAGGGGGCAAGCGUUAUCCGGAAUUAUUGGGUGUAAAGGGUGCGUAGACGGAAGAACAAGUUGGUUGUGAAAUCCCUCGGCUCAACUGAGGAACUGCAACCAAAACUAUUCUCCUUGAGUGUCGGAGAGGGAAAGUGGAAUUUCCUAGUGUAGCGGGAAAAUGCGUAGAUAUUAGGAGGAACACCAGUGGCGAAGGCGACUUUUUGGACGAUAACUGACGUUGAGGCACGAAAGUGUGGGGAGCAAACAGGAUUAGAUACCCUGGUAGUCCACACUGUAAACGAUGGAUACUAGGUGUAGGGUGUAUUAAGCACUCUGUGCCGCCGCUAACGCAUUAAGUAUCCCACCUGGGGAGUACGACCGCAAGGUUGAAACUCAAAGGAAUUGACGGGGGCCCGCACAAGCAGUGGAGUAUGUGGUUUAAUUCGAAGCAACGCGAAGAACCUUACCAGGGCUUGACAUAUACCAGAAUAUACUAGAGAUAGUAUAGUCCUUCGGGACUGGUAUACAGGUGGUGCAUGGUUGUCGUCAGCUCGUGUCGUGAGAUGUUGGGUUAAGUCCCGCAACGAGCGCAACCCCUAUCGUUAGUUGCUAGCAGGUAAUGCUGAGAACUCUAGCGAGACUGCCGGUGAUAAAUCGGAGGAAGGUGGGGAUGACGUCAAAUCAUCAUGCCCUUUAUGUCCUGGGCUACACACGUACUACAAUGGCCGUAACAGAGGGAAGCAAUAUAGUGAUAUGGAGCAAAACCCUAAAAGCGGUCUCAGUUCGGAUUGAAGGCUGAAAUUCGCCUUCAUGAAGCUGGAAUUGCUAGUAAUG